rnacentral:rRNA from 1 species
AUGCCUAAAGUCGUCUCUUGUGCUCGUACCGCUACACAAACUAUCGGUAAACACUUUUCGUGCAACUCUUUUCCGUCUGUCCACGAUGAUGACGCUGACACCGUCAUAGUGACAUCCUCCCAUAUGACAAGGAGAGGACGUCGAUUCCUCUGUAGCGCCUGGCCGUCAAAGGUGCAACAAGGAAAUCAUGUCAGGCAAACACCAAAACUGGAGUUUGAUCGGGUCGUAAUGUCUACGAAAAUACUGGAAAUAAUAGAGCAGUUGAAACCUCUGAGUGCUAUGGUCUCCACCAUUCUCAAUCUAGAACUACUUGGCUCCACCCGUGCCCAAGACAUUACGAACCGACCCAAAACCACACCAAAUAUUAUAGAGCCUAAGUUGUAUGGAAGGGAUGAGCUAAAAAACAACAUCAUUGAUGGCAUCACACAUGGUAAAUAUUGUACCAAUAAACUCACCGUAGUUCCACUUGUUGGUCCAGGAGGUAUUGGUAAGACAACACUCACGCAACACAUAUUUAGAGAAUUGGAGGGUUCUUUCCAAGUUUCAGUUUGGAUAUGUGUAUCUCUCGAUUUUAAUGCAGAUAGGUUGGCAGAAGAGAUCAUGAAAAAGAUACCUAAAGUGAAUGAUGAAAAAGAUAAUUCUACGAAUCAAGAGGUAAUUGCACAAAGAUUAGAAUCUAAGCGGCUUUUACUUGUUUUAGAUGAUGUGUGGACAUACCAUGGAGAUGAGUGGAAAAAACUAUUAGCUCCGUUAAGUCAAACGGGGGGAUAA